rnacentral:rRNA from 1 species
AGAGUUUGAUCAUGGCUCAGGAUGAACGCUAGCUACAGGCUUAACACAUGCAAGUCGAGGGGCGAGCAUGUUGGUUGCUUGCAACCAACGAUGGCGACCGGCGCACGGGUGAGUAACGCGUAUCCAACCUACCCUUGUCCAGUCGGAUAACCCGUCGAAAGGCGGCCUAACACGAUAUGCGGUUCACAGCAGGCAUCUAACGUGAACGAGAUGUAAAGGAGAAGGAUGGGGAUGCGUCUGAUUAGCUUGUUGGCGGGGUAACGGCCACCAAGGCUACGAUCAGUAGGGGUUCUGAGAGGAAGGUCCCCCACAUUGGAACUGAGACACGGUCCAAACUCCUACGGGAGGCA